rnacentral:misc_RNA from 1 species
AAGUCGUAACAAGGUUUCCGUAGGUGAACCUGCGGAAGGAUCAUUACCGAGAUGUGGGUCCGGGAGUCGUCGGCCGCACUUGCUGCCAUCGCUCCCUUACCCCGCCCUCCCAUCCACACACCGUGAACAGUCGGACCAACCACGUACGCGAAUGUCUUCGGCUCUAGCAGCCGCCAAAACAACACACAACUUUUAGCAACGGAUCUCUUGGCUCUC